UAAGUAUGGAAAGGUCUUUGUGGUUUGGUUGUGCCAGAGACAAAUGUGCAUUAUUUCCAUGUUGGGUCAGAAGUCUCGGUACACUUUAGGUGAGUGGCAGUUGGGUAGAUGGAUGACCUUCAGAUAGUUUGAGAUGAAGAAGUUCUUUUAAAUGGUUGAAAGUGAUCAUCAUAGAAUCAACUCCAUUAUGAAGAUAAAUUAUGAGAGUCAGCACUCCUUUUGUCCAACACCUGAGAGAUCUGACUACCCAGCCUACUGUUGAAUUAAUUGGUGACCAAGAAAAGAUGACAGAGAGGGGAAUC